AUUGAACGCUGGCGGCAGGCUUAACACAUGCAAGUCGAGCGGGGUGAUGGUGCUUGCACUAUCACUUAGCGGCGGACGGGUGAGUAAUGCUUAGGAAUCUGCCUAUUAGUGGGGGACAACAUCUCGAUAGGGAUGCUAAUACCGCAUACGUCCUACGGGAGAAAGCAGGGGAUCACUUGUGACCUUGCGCUACUAGAUGAGCCUAAGUCGGAUUAGCUAGUUGGUGGGGUAAAGGCCUACCAAGGCGACGAGCUGCAGCGGAUCUGAGAGGAUGAUCCGCCACACUGGGACUGAGACACGGCCCAGACUCCUACGGGAGGCAGCAGUGGGGAAUAUUGGACAAUGGGGGGAACCCUGAUCCAGCCAUGCCGCGUGUGUGAAGAAGGCCUUAUGGUUGUAAAGCACUUUAAGCGAGGAGGAGGCUCUUUUGGUUAAUACCCAAGAUGAGUGGACGUUACUCGCAGAAUAAGCACCGGCUAACUCUGUGCCAGCAGCCGCCGUAA
rnacentral:rRNA from 1 species